GAAAAAUAAGCUAACUUUAAAGCUUUUGGAUUCAUAAUUCAACUAUAGAAAUAAUCUUUUUUCUAA
rnacentral:tRNA from 1 species